CUUUCUGUUCCUGGCUCCCUUUCGCCCGCAGGUCGCCCAAGUCCAGCCCCACGACGCAGUGCCGACUCCCCGCCGUGCCCCCAGCCCGGCCCGGGUUGCGGAGCCCUGCUCCUGGGCCUCUGCCUGCUGCGUCCACCCUGGGGGAAGCGCCCGUCGUACCCUCCACACCGGGGGCUUCCCCUGACCCCUUAGGCCCUCCCCCUGCAGGUGCCCUCGCGCCCCUCCCGGGGUCCCCAGGGAAACGUGCUUCCAAUCUUCCAGGAAAAAUUGAAGGCUCCGGAUGAGAAAAAGCAAACAAAGGACAGUGGGACCAUGGGCGUCCCCACCCCCACCACCCGCAGGCCCCACACUCAAACCAGCGCCCGUGCCCACGCCCAUGCAGCCGUCCUCCGCCAGGCCCCAAGAACGGCUGUUACUUUGGGGGCCGAGGCACAAGGGAGGCCCCAUUCAUCUUCCCUGGAGUCGGCAUCCCUUUGAUUGCGGGGCCACCUCUCAUCUGAACAUCUUCACCCCCCCCCAAUAUUCCUUCUGAACCCUCCAUCCUCCUUCUCCCCUUCUCUUGGGACCAUAAACCUACCCCAAGAGUGAGUCCUAGCUCCAGGGCCAGCUCCCAAUCCUGCCUCUGUCUGGUGGCAGCUGGGGCCAGGCUGAAGGUCUGUCCUAGACUGAGCCAUAAAGGCAAAAAUAAUACUUACUCCUAAUAGAAGUAAAGCACUUCACCCUAGAUGAGCCCUGGUCCUGGUCACACACAGAACCUAGACCUUUAUUUAGAGAUGGACCAUUAAUUUGUCAUGUGGGCUAGGCAUGGUGGCUCAAACCUGUAAUCCCACUUUGGGAGGCCCAAGCAGGAGGAUCACUUGAGGCCAUGAGUUCGAGACCAGCCUAGGCAACAUAACAAGACCACGUCUCUACAAAAAGAUUUAAAAAUUAACCAGGUUUGGUGGCAUGUGCCUGUAGUCCCAGCUACUGCAGUGAACCAAGAUUGUGCCACUGCACUCCAGCCUGGGCAACGGAGCAAGAUCCUGUCACAAAAAAAAAUUAUCACGUGGCCGAAGUUAUUUCCAGGCUCCGAGCGCCAGCUUCCUCAUCUUUCCAACAGAGGGCCUUCACCUGGGCUAAGUGUUAAAUCAGAAAGCCCCUAUUCAGAGGUUGGCCUGCAGUUCCCUGACCUGGUAACACUGGGGAGCAUUGGCUGCUGUCACCUGCCAGCUCCCACCCCCACCCAACACUUACACACCAAGCAUCACUAAUUUUUGCAGCUGCCAUGAUAAAUGGCACUGUUGGCAAAAUGACAUCUUUCUAAUCUGCCACAAGACAGACGGGUCCCCGAGCUCCCACAGCCUCCCAAGAGCCAGCCCAGGCCAUCCUUGUUGAGAGGAUGGGCAGAUGCAAAGCCCAGGGCCUGGGGGCGGGUGGGAUGGAGAGGAGACCUCAGGGCCCAGAAUCAAGGACAUCCCUAGUGGGGUUUACCACAGGCUCUUUUCUAAAUAUUUAGUUGUAUGUGUGCUUUUAAAAAUAUUCCAAAGAAUAUUAUAUGCUCUGUUCCUUUCUGACCAAAGUUAGGGCUUCAAUUCAAUUUUCUUUUCUUUUCUUUCUUUUUUUUAGACAGGGUCUUGCUGUAUCGCCCAAGCUGGAGUGCAGUGGCACAAUCACAGCUCACUGCAGCCUUGACCUCCUGGGCUCAAGCGAUCCCCCCACCUCAGCCACCUGAGUAGCUGGGUCUAUAGGCGCCAGCUACCAUGCCUGGCUAAUCUUUGUAUUUUAUUUUGUAGACACGGGGUCUCGCCAUGUUGUCCAGGCUGGUCUUGAACUCUUGACCUCAAAUGAUCUGCUUGCCUUGCUCUCCCAAAAUGCUGGGAUUUCAGGCUUGGGCCACUGCACCCAGCCUCAAUUUUCACUUUAAAUUAAAACCUGGAUAUUGUUCAGGUUUAUAAGGAUGAACCAUUAGACACUGGUUCUGAGGCGGUGCUCUCUUCCUGUCACCCUCUGCUCUGCGGAACAGUCUGCCUCUGCCUGAGCCAUUAGGUCUGGGGGCUUUCUCACCCCCCUCCUCCCUCCCACUCCCUCCAUGGCUCCCACCCUCCCACCCAGCCUCUUUGCUGACCUCAGCCGCAUCCCCUCCAUGCCUCACACUGGCCUGGGACUGCCAGGUUCCUGUGUCCAGGAGUAGAGGUGAAUUGGGGCUCUGGAUGCCAAGAACAGAGGAAGGACAAAUGCCAGCCCCAGAGACCCUCACCUCCUCAAGACCAACAGGAGCUGGCGCCUGUCCGCCCAGCAGCAGCAAAGCCAGAGCGGGUGCCAGCCAGGGUGGGUAGGCACAGGCCUGGGCUUGAAGAUUGAGACAGCGCUGCCCCCUCCUGGCUAAUUCACGGCUGCUCCUCUGACAGGCACUGCCAGGCUAAGCUGUUGAGGUUGGGGACAUAGUGAGUGACCCCAAAAACAGCAUGUGACAAGCUGACCUUCCCUGCAGUCUGCCCAGCUGGGAGCUGCCUCCCACUCUGCCCAUCCUGUCCGAGCUUCUCCCAAAGCAUCUUCCGGCCCUCACACCUUCAGGGCAAAGCCCGAGGCCCCUCCCGGCUGCCCACAAUGUGGCCCCGGGUAGCAGCCUCGCCCCCUGCACCCCAGGCCCCUGCUGCUCUGUGCCUCCCCAGUUCCCUGUCACUGCACCUGCAUGCUUUGCUCUCACCUUGACCUCCACCUUCGCCCUCCCCAGCAGUCUCCUCUUGUCCUCUUAGGUCCCUCCCCGAGGAAACUCCUCUCCCAACUCCCAACCAGAGGGACUCCGCUCCUCUGCCUGCACCCCGACCUGCCCUGCCCCUGUCUCGGGGACUGCACACUGUCAGCACAGUCCCACAGUUCUGGAACUUGGGAGAACCUAGACCUCUUCCAAGCCUACCCUGUGCACUGUCUAAAGGGCAAUCCUGAGCCCAGAGAGGGGCAGGAGCUGCACAAGGCCACACAGCCUGUAAUGGCAGUUAGGACUGGAAUGCAGCUCUCCCGAGUCUCUGCCUGGGGCUCCUUGGAGGACAGACACAUGGCUUCCCCACCUGGUGAACCAGAAUGGAACUCUUCAAGGACAGGGACUGUAUCAUUCCUUCCAGUGUCCCCAGCCCCUCACCCAGAGCAGGACCCACAGGAAGCAACUGUGAACAGAAAAGGAAAAAACAAAUACAUGAAAAUGUAUCUCU
rnacentral:lncRNA from 1 species